rnacentral:rRNA from 1 species
GACGUAGGGCGCGAGCGUUGUCCGGAUUUAUUGGGCGUAAAGGGCUCGUAGGCGGUUUGUCGCGUCGGGAGUGAAAUCCACUGGCUUAACUGGUGGCUUGCUUUCGAUACGGGCAGACUGGAGGUAUGCAGGGGAGAACGGAAUUCCUGGUGUAGCGGUGAAAUGCGCAGAUAUCAGGAGGAACACCGGUGGCGAAGGCGGGUCUCUGGGCAGUAACUGACGCUGAGGAGCGAAAGCGUGGGGAGCGAACAGG